AUUUUGGCUAAAGUCGACUGUAAAACGUCUUUAUUAUACCCUUUCGGACGCCGUUGAAAAAAUAUUGAUCGCCAUGAUUUCUUCAAACAAAAGUGAAUCAUUUGUUUUGACAUUUCGAGAAAAAUAAUCUUAUCAGAAUAAUUUUUUCCUCCAACUAAGCAGUCACAAAAGACAAAAAAAGUGUUAAUUAAUUAAGAAAAUUCCAAAAAUCUCUUCGAGAAAAUGUCUGUUAAUACAGCCCACGCCAAUAAUGGCGUUUUAAUACAUGCUGGAGAAUACAUCUUACUCCAUAGCGACAAUGUUUCGAUGGAUUUUUCAGGUCAGGACAAUCCUAUAUUUCGUGGCUCGAAGCAGGGUCGUAUCUAUUUAACUUCCCAUCGCUUGAUUUUUAACAAUAAGAAAUCGGGCGAUGAGAUGCAGUCAUUUAGUGCACCUUUUAUUGCUAUGAAUGAUGUUGAGCUUGAACAACCUGUCUUCGGAGCCAACUACAUAAAGGGUAAAGUACGUGCCCAGCCUAAUGGUAACUUCAUUGGUGAAGUUAAAUUUAAGCUCUAUUUUAAAUCGGGCGGUGCUAUUGAGUACGGUAUGGCUUUGUUGCGUGCGGCUAAGACGGCUCAAAGCAAUUAUCAUAAUGGUGGAGGCGGCUAUGAUGAUCCACCACCAUAUACACCUUCGGGUAAUUGGCAUGAGGCACCACCACCAGCCUAUCAGCCACCACCAGGCUAUUACGGUUGGUUGCCCCAACAUGAUGCCUUUAGUGGACCAGCACCCAAUACGGUGUUUAUGAGUGAUAAUCCACCACCUUAUCCAGGCAUUGGAGGACCACCACCAGCUUAUAAUCCACAACCACCCCAGGGAAUUUAUCCAUCGGUACCAACACAUCCCUAUAAUCCGCAACAGCAACAACCAUACAAUCCACAACCUUACAAUCCACAACCAUACAAUCCACCAGCUCAGGAUUGGAAUGGUUUUGGCAUGCCUCAACAACCAUCACAACAACAACAGCAACAACAAAAUCAAAAUCAACAACGCAAUGGCUCAAAUAAUACAUCGUCUCAACAACAGGAAGAAAUGCCCUCUUGGAAUGGCUUCUCAUUGCCACCACCCGAUGAGGAGGAACGUCAACAACAACGCCAACAACAAAGUCAACAAUCAUCAGCCCCUGCAGCAGCUCAUGCUGGCGGCUGGGGAGGUGGGUAUCCACAACCGCCCCCAUAUGGAGCACCAUCACAACCUUAUCCACCAUAUCCCAUGUAUCCUCCACAAGGAGGUGGCUAUCCACCAUAUCCUCCACAACCCCAACAAUAUGGUGGUGGUUUUCCUCCUUAUCCACCAGCUGCUGGCGGUCCUCCACCACCAGCUGGUGCCAUGGGUUUCACUGCACCUCCAGCCAAUUAUUAAAGAAGAAAAAUAAAGAUUUGUAAUAACUCAAACUUAUUUAAACACAAAUACAAUUGUUACUAAAGGCAGUACUGUUUAUUAUCAAUAUUAUUAUCCUUAUCAAACUGGCUUUAUGUUUGUGCCAGUUAUUAUACCCAUAUAAUUUUCUCAAUUACCCAGUUAACGAAUCUCAAUGUAGUGAAACCUAAAACUUCCCAUAUAUAUAUUUUUAUAAUAUUUUAAAGAACCAUCAUCAUUUAAAUAUAUUUAAAUAUUCUAAAGAAGCUGAGGCCUUAGCAAGUGCUUAUAAUACUACUGAAAAUCAACGUCAAAAUAGACCUGGUCCUAACGAUAUGCCGCCAGCUUAUGAGGACUUGCCUCCCAAUUACAACAAUACUAAUCGCAAAUACUAAUAAAUUGUUGCAAUUUUAUAAAACUUGUAUUGCAUCGGUAUUCAAAAAUGGUCAUUCCCUAUUUAAAUGUUGCUUUGCUUCUUUAAUUUACUAAAACAAUGUAUUGUUGAAAGACUAAAUUGUAGUCUAAAAAAGUUUUUCUUUUUCUAAAUUAUGUAUUUAUUUAGUUAAUACUGUUUUUUAAAUCUUUCAGUUGAAUUUAUCUUUAAUAUUUUAAAUAUUUCUUGUUAUUAUUAAUAAAUUUUAUUAAGAUUUUGUUA